CGAAUGCUGACAUAAGUAACGAUAAAGCGGGUGAAAAGCCCGCUCGCCGGAAGACCAAGGGUUCCUGUCCAACGUUAAUCGGGGCAGGGUGAGUCGACCCCUAAGGCGAGGCCGAAAGGCGUAGUCGAUGGGAAACAGGUUAAUAUUCCUGUACUUGGUGUUACUGCGAAGGGGGGACGGAGAAGGCUAUGUUGGCCGGGCGACGGUUGUCCCGGUUUAAGCGUGUAGGCUGGUUUUCCAGGCAAAUCCGGAAAAUCAAGGCUGAGGCGUGAUGACGAGGCACUACGGUGCUGAAGCAACAAAUGCCCUGCUUCCAGGAAAAGCCUCUAAGCAUCAGGUAACAUCAAAUCGUACCCCAAACCGACACAGGUGGUCAGGUAGAGAAUACCAAGGCGCUUGAGAGAACUCGGGUGAAGGAACUAGGCAAAAUGGUGCCGUAACUUCGGGAGAAGGCACGCUGAUAUGUAGGUGAAGUCCCUCGCGGAUGGAGCUGAAAUCAGUCGAAGAUACCAGCUGGCUGCA
rnacentral:rRNA from 1 species